rnacentral:lncRNA from 1 species
AAAUCACCUCCUCCACCAGUAUAUAUUUAUGCAUCUCCGCCACCUCCAAUCCACUACUAAGUGUUUCUAAAAGCUCAGCCAUUCUUCAUAAUCAAUCAAGUGAGUAGCCGUUUGAAUUGUGUAUUUUUUUCCAAAUGAAUCAACUUUUGAUUUUAUUUUCUUUGAAUUAAGUUGUAAUCUUCUAUUUUAUUGUUUAUUUUCAGAUUUUAGUUAGAGGAGAAGAUUCAACGUCAAUGGCACAAAGCAAUUAAUAUAUGGAAUAAAAUAUACAACUUUUCAAUUGAAGGAAUGUUUCUUAUCGCACAUUGUUCUCUAGUGCAUUCACGUGGACAAGGCUACAAUAACUUUGAUUCUUCAUAUAUAGAGUUUGUUUUUUUCGCAAUUUAUUGUUGUAUUGAGGAUGUCCUCGUUUUUUUAUUCAUUUCUUAUUAGUUACUGCAAGUUGUUUCUUGUAAUACCUUGGUGUACAUUGUGCACAAAUCAAUAAGAAGAUCAAUUUCAUUA